AGUGAACGCUGGCGGUAGGCCUAACACAUGCAAGUCGAACGGCAGCACAGUAAGAGCUUGCUCUUACGGGUGGCGAGUGGCGGACGGGUGAGGAAUACAUCGGAAUCUACUUUUUCGUGGGGGAUAACGUAGGGAAACUUACGCUAAUACCGCAUACGACCUACGGGUGAAAGCAGGGGAUCUUCGGACCUUGUGCGAUUGAAUGAGCCGAUGUCGGAUUAGCUAGUUGGCGGGGUAAAGGCCCACCAAGGCGACGAUCCGUAGCUGGUCUGAGAGGAUGGUCAGCCACACUGGAACUGAAACACGGUCCAGACGCCUACGGGAGGCAACAGUGGGGAAUAUUGGACAAUGGGCGCAAGCCUGAUCCAGCCAUACCGCGUGGGUGAAGAAGGCCUUCGGGUUGUAAAGCCCUUUUGUUGGGAAAGAAAAGCAGCAGGUUAAUACCCCGCUGUUCUGACGGUACCCAAAGAAUAAGCACCGGCUAACUUCGUG
rnacentral:rRNA from 1 species